AAAACUGGAAGAGGAAAAAAGUAAGAAGAAAAGUAACAAUCAGUUAAUAAAGUUAAAACGGCACAACAGUUUGACUUUUGCCAAGAAUAUGUACGCUAAAUCUCAGAAAGUAAUAAGCAAAACGACAAAUAGUAAGUUAAAAGGAAACACUUUUUUUUUUGAUCAUUUAAAGAAAAGCCCUGAGGGAGAACGCGUUAAUUCAUGUUGUAGAAAAAACAUGUUUUUUGGUAUAAAUAUAUGUAGCGAGAAGAUAUGUAAAGCUAAUAGUAAUAAUAAUAACGUUCUCCAAAAAGAUUAUACUGAGCCUUUAUCGGACUGUAACUACAAAUCUUUAACUAUAAGUGGAAAAGAUUUUAUUGAAAAGAAAAAAAAAAAAACAACUAUAAAUCUACGGUUUAUGAGCAGCUUCCGGAAAAACGAUAAAAAGAAACAAAAUUUUAAGGCAAAAAAGCAAGAUGAGCAACAAUCUGUGAAAAAGUUAAUAAAUCUUCAAAGGGAUUCCAAGUUUAAUGAAGGUCGAUACACUAAGAAAGAGGAUAAUAACUGUGAAUUUGCUUUAAAAAAGAAAACUCUACGACUGUUUUUAAGUGGAAAAGUCUUUCAGAAAAAAAGUACUUUUACUGUGCAUUAUUAAACAAGUGAUGCCCUCUACGUAUAUACUGCAAGGCAAACUUGGGGCUAUUAAGCACCGCUUCUUAUUUUUUAAUCCUGAAAUCGGGAUCAUUGUCUGGUUUUCUGUCAAAAGCGUAGAAAAAGCAAAAUUGGGUUGGUUGUGUAAUUACGAAGUACACGAAAAGGAGAACGUAUUAUACCAUGUUUUUUACUUAACUAAAGGCAAAAUCAAAAUUUUCUUUAAUGAAAAUUCUUCUGUCCAAGACGAGUGGAUUAGAGAGCUGAGUUUCUUUGCUUUUGAUCUACCCAAAUUCCCUAUUUGGUUUAAAGGACAGAAAAUUAUCAAUUACCGCCUAUAAGUUUG